rnacentral:rRNA from 1 species
GAGCGGUAGAGAGAAGCUUGCUUCUCUUGAGAGCGGCGGACGGGUGAGUAAUGCCUAGGAAUCUGCCUGGUAGUGGGGGACAACGUUUCGAAAGGAACGCUAAUACCGCAUACGUCCUACGGGAGAAAGCAGGGGACCUUCGGGCCUUGCGCUAUCAGAUGAGCCUAGGUCGGAUUAGCUAGUUGGUGAGGUAAUGGCUCACCAAGGCGACGAUCCGUAACUGGUCUGAGAGGAUGAUCAGUCACACUGGAACUGAGACACGGUCCAGACUCCUACGGGAGGCAGCAGUGGGGAAUAUUGGACAAUGGGCGAAAGCCUGAUCCAGCCAUGCCGCGUGUGUGAAGAAGGUCUUCGGACUGUAAAGCACUUUAAGUUGGGAGGAAGGGCAGUUACCUAAUACGUGAUUGUUUUGACGUUACCGACAGAAUAAGCACCGGCUAACUCUGUG